rnacentral:rRNA from 1 species
AGAGCGAACGCUGGCGGCAGGCCUAACACAUGCAAGUCGAGCGCCCGUAGCAAUACGGGAGCGGCAGACGGGAUAGUAACACGUGGGAACGCGCCCUUCGGUUCGGAAUAACUCAGGGAAACUUGAGCUAAUACCGAAUACGCCCUUACGGGGAAAGAUUUAUUGCCGAAGGAACGGCCCGCGUCCGAUUAGCUAGUUGGUGAGGUAAUGGCUCACCAAGGCUACGAUCGGUAGCUGGUCUGAGAGGAUGACCAGCAUCACUGGGACUGAGACACGGCCCAGACUCCUACGGGAGGCAGCAGUGGGGAAUAUUGGACAAUGGGCGCAAGCCUGAUCCAGCCAUGCCGCGUGGAUGAUGAAGGCCUUAGGGUUGUAAAGUCCGUUUUAACGGGGAAGUAUAAUGACGGUACCCGUAGAAGAAGCCCCGGCUAACUACGUGCCAGCAGCCGC